AGGAAUGUGGCUUAAUGGUAGAGUACCUGCCUGGCAUGCAGGAAGCCCUGGAUUCGAUUCCUCAAUACCA
rfam:Dipodomys ordii contig_22224, whole genome shotgun sequence.